AACGUAGGUGGCAAGCGUUAUCCGGAUUUACUGGGCGUAAAGGGUGUGCAGGCGGGGUUGCAAGUGGUGUAUGAAAUCUCCCGGCUUAACCGGGAGGGGUUAUGCCAGACUGCAAUUCUAGAGGACGAGAGAGGGGGGUGGAAUUCCGGGUGUAGUGGUGAAAUGCGUAGAGAUCCGGAGGAACCCCAGAGGCGAAGGCGGCCCCCUGGCUCGUACCUGACGCUCAGACACGAAAGCAUGGGGAGCGAACGGG
rnacentral:rRNA from 1 species